AUUGAACGCUGGCGGCAUGCUUUACACAUGCAAGUCGAACGGCAGCGCGGGCUUCGGCCUGGCGGCGAGUGGCGAACGGGUGAGUAAUGCAUAGGAACGUGCCCAGUAGUGGGGGAUAGCCUGGCGAAAGCCGGAUUAAUACCGCAUACGACCUGAGGGAGAAAGCGGGGGACCGUAAGGCCUCGCGCUAUUGGAGCGGCCUAUGUCGGAUUAGCUAGUUGGUGGGGUAAAGGCUUACCAAGGCGACGAUCCGUAGCUGGUCUGAGAGGACGACCAGCCACACUGGAACUGAGACACGGCCCAGACUCCUACGGGAGGCAGCAGUGGGGAAUUUUGGACAAUGGGGGCAACCCUGAUCCAGCCAUGCCGCGUGCGGGAAGAAGGCCUUCGGGUUGUAAACCGCUUUUGUUCGGGAAGAAAUCCUCUGGGCUAAUACCCCGGUGGGAUGACGUUACCGGAAGAAUAAGCACCGGCUAACUACGUG
rnacentral:rRNA from 1 species